rnacentral:piRNA from 1 species
GGAACUCCCCAUUAACAUGCCUACUUGUGA